rnacentral:rRNA from 1 species
UCCAGACUCCUACGGGAGGCAGCAGUGGGGAAUAUUGGGCAAUGGGCGCAAGCCUGACCCAGCAAUGCCGCGUGAAGGAAGAAGGCCUUCGGGUUGUAAACUUCUUUUAUCAGGGACGAAGGAUGUGACGGUACCUGAUGAAUAAGCUCCAGCUAACUACGUGCCAGCAGCCGCGGUAAUACGUAGGGAGCAAGCGUUAUCCGGAUUUACUGGGUGUAAAGGGAGCGUAGGCGGCAGUGCAAGUCAGAAGUGAAAGCCCGGGGCUCAACUCCGGGACUGCUUUUGAAACUGUACAGCUUGAUUGCAGGAGAGGCAAGUGGAAUUCCUAGUGUAGCGGUGAAAUGCGUAGAUAUUAGGAGGAACACCAGUGGCGAAGGCGGCUUGCUGGACUGUAAAUGACGCUGAGGCUCGAAAGCGUGGGGAGCAAACAGGAUUAGAUACCCGGGUAA